AUUGAACGCUGGCGGCAGGCCUAACACAUGCAAGUCGAGCGAGCGGCGGACGGGUGAGUAAUGCCUGGGAAUUGCCCAGUCGAGGGGGAUAACAGUUGGAAACGACUGCUAAUACCGCAUACGAUGGGAUUGCACAGGUGGGAUUAGCUGGUUGGUGGGGUAAUGGCUCAACAAGGCGACGAUCCCUAGCGGGUCUGAGAGGAUGAUCAGCCACACUGGAACUGAGACACGGUCCAUACUCCUACGGGAGGCAGCAGUGGGGAAUAUUGGACAAUGGGGGAAACCCUGAUGCAGCCAUGCCGCGUGUGUGAAGAAGGCCUUCGGGUUGUAAAGCACUUUCAUCGGGGAGGCGUUACCCGAAGAAGAAGCACCGGCUAACUCCGUGCCAGCAGCCGCGGUAAUAC
rnacentral:rRNA from 1 species